CUACCACGGCUGACGAGCUCCACCUGCCCGGGUUUAUUGUUCGGAGUUUGCUCUCCUAGGCAGAUUGCCUACCACGGCUGACGAGCUCCACCUGCCCGGGUUUGUUGUUCGGAGUUUGCUCUCCUAGGUGAAUUGCCUACCACGGCUAACGAGCCUCACCUGCCCGGGUUUGUAUAGAGUUUGCUCUCCUAGGUGAAUUGCCUACCACGGCUAACGAGCCUCACCUGCCCGGGUUUGUUUAGAGUUUGCUCUCCUAGGUGAAUUGCCUACCACGGCUAACGAGCCUCACCUGCCCGGGUUUGUAUAGAGUUUGCUCUCCUAGGUGAAUUGCCUACCACGGCUUACGAGCCUCACCUGCCCGGGUUUGUAUAGAGUUUGC